rfam:Triticum urartu cultivar G1812 contig822954, whole genome shotgun sequence.
AAACUACUCCCUCCGUUCCAAAUUACUCGUCAUAGAAAUGGAUGUAUCUCGAACUAAAAUACAUAUAGAUACAUCCAUAUCUGCGACAAGUAAUUCGGAACGGAGGGAGUAGAUA